rnacentral:rRNA from 1 species
GGGCCCGCACAAGCGGCGGAGCAUGUUGCUUAAUUCGACGCAACGCGAAGAACCUUACCAAGGCUUGACAUCGCCGGAAAUCCCGCAGAGAUGCGGGGUCCUUUUUGGGCCGGUGACAGGUGGUGCAUGGCUGUCGUCAGCUCGUGUCGUGAGAUGUUGGGUUAAGUCCCGCAACGAGCGCAACCCUCGUUCCAUGUUGCCAGCACGUGAUGGUGGGGACUCAUGGGAGACCGCCGGGGUCAACUCGGAGGAAGGUGGGGAUGACGUCAAGUCAUCAUGCCCCUUAUGUCUUGGGCUGCAAACAUGCUACAAUGGCCGGUACAGUGGGCUGCGAUACCGUGAGGUGGAGCGAAUCCCUUAAAGCCGGUCUCAGUUCGGAUCGAAGUCUGCAACUCGACUUCGUGAAGUCGGAGUCGCUAGUAAUCGCAGAUCAGCAACGCUGCGGUGAAUACGUUCCCGGGCCUU